CUCAAAAAAAUCAUGUGAACUUGAAUCUUGUCCAAGAUUCUGCUUCUAGGGAUGCUACCUAUGACAAUAGCUACUAUUAAUCAUAACUCUCAGGCUCCUAAGAUUGUGGCCGUGCCCUGCAGCUGCUGAAAGCUGUAGAGGGGUGUCAUUUUGAGAUGAUGCUAACAUAGCAAUGGAUGAGUUCCCCAAACCAAAAGGCUGCAAAAAGUUUCUCCCAAGUUCUGUUCUUGAAACUGUUGAGAGAGAACAGGAAUGUCAUUCAGGAGAGAAGACAGGGCAAAGGAGAAAAGGAUGAUGGGAAGGGAAACUGCUGAGAAUAGACUCAGCCAGGAGAGUUCUGGAGGGCCCUGUUGGGUUGGCCACAUUCCAUAGAAGCAGCCUUUCUCAUGACAUUUCUCUCUACUAGUACUUGCAACACUCUGAGCUAAGGACUCCUCGAGGGACUUCUCCAGUGAAGAAAAGGAUUGCUUCAUUUCUGGAUGUCCUGUUUCUUUUCCCGUUGGAAGAGCCAGCUCAGGCUCCCAUCCCAGUGAGAGGCCAGUUUGGCCAGGCUGAGAUUUGCUUCCUGUCCCCAAAGAAAUCCAGCGCCUUCCGUCACUGCCACGGAUCAGAGCUUUGGCAAGUAACAGAAGAAAGAGUAGAGGGGCACCUGGAACACCCAACUGUACAGGCUUAUAACGUUCAUGAAGCUUCUCUAGGAGUAAAGAAAAGAUUAUCCCAGGCCGGUUCAGGAGAGGUCAUGGUCCAGCAACAAAGCUCAGAUUUUUGGAAGGCCAGCUGAGCCCUGGGUUAUAGACUAGAGUCCAUGUGAUAUGGCUGUAAAAGAGCCCAGAUUGGGAAAGAGGAAGCCAGGCUUCCUCCAGCUUAGUUACUAAGAAAUUGGGACUGAUAAUGCUAAGGAUGAUGAUAGUGAUGAUGACGAUAGCUAUCACCGAUUGAACAUUUACUAUGUGCCAAGUACUGUGCUAACUACUUUAUGGAUAUUCUCUAUUAAAGCCCCUACAGCAUAGGCAUGAUUAGCCCCAUUUCACAGAUGAGGAAGGUGAGGCUACAUAAACACGCCAAUGGUCUAUAGCUAGGAAAGAUACAGAACCAGGAUUUAACCUUGGUUUGCCGCUGUAUUGCCUCUAAUUCAUUUUAAAUUAUGGUACCAAUUUCCUCAUCUGCAAAAAGGCCCGGCUAAACUUCAAAUAUUUGCCCUCUGAGGUCCUUUCCGGUCUUACAGUCUAGAAUGAUCUCUAUCCUCCUCACCGAGAUGAGAGGAAAGUCUGGGAUCAGGAGGGUAAGGAACCAGAAAGGGGAUACUGCAUUCCAGCUGAACUUUUCACUCAGAUGAAGACAAUUUGGAAAUUCCACGGCCCCUCCCUCUGUGAGCAGUAUGUUAUCCAGGCCUGGAAAACAUCUGAGAAGUGACAGAAGGCGUUGGAGAAUUCCAGGAGAGCCAGGUCAUGCCACAAAACGAGUAUACCUCACACAACAGCAGCUCUAUAUAUUUGCCUUUUUUUUUCCUUCACUGGAGGCCUCUAGAUUUUUCCAGACAAUAUUUGGAAGGCUAAAAUCUGAUUACCUCAAAUCACAGACAAAAAUAGAUCUUGGGGUUUUUCAUAUUCAUUCUGACCCAAUCAAGUGCAUUGGAGGAAUGCAAUAACGUUUUAUUUGUCUGCUCUCUGGAAUUCAGAAGAAUUUAAAGUCAUUGCUUUUAAAUGUUUGAGAGUAAAAACAGUAUUCAUAUUGGAUGGCUUUAUUCUCCUUAUACUGUUUUUGGACAAGCAGUGUGGACCCAACUAACACUCCUGAAUUUCAGCCUCUGUGUCUCAGUUUUUCUUAUAAUGACAAGAGAAUUAAAGAUGGCCUCUCACCGCCUCAGUAGGACGAUGAAUAAACGAAACUUAAAAAAUUACCAGGAAGGAAAGUAUUAUUUUCCAGGGACUCCACAGUCCUCUCUUCUGGCAGGGCCCACGUCAACUGUGUGGGCAUCUCCACCCAUGCCUUCCUGUCUGGGCUGAGAGGUAACGAGCGGGGAGAGCACCUCAUGAAAGUUUCCUUGGAGGUGCCUGAACCUUCUGUCACCUGUGGUUCUUUGAAGUACAGAGUCCUGGCUUCCUGUUUAUGUCACUAUGCCUAGAAGUAGAGGUGCCAGAAGGUUUCAUGCCUUAGGUGGCAGCCACAGAGCUCUUCCUUUGCAGAGACACUACCCUUUACGUUUCUAUAAUCUUCCAUUGCGGGGGGAAGGGAGUGUAGCUAAUGGGGCUACUAGUGGUUCUUGGGGUAGGUGGAGAGAUUUCUCGUGACUUCCUGUAACUUCUUCCGUCAAACUUCUUCUUCUUUGCAUCAUAGCAAACAACCUGCUGAUGCUGGGUGGAGUUGCUGGGCCUAGCGCAUUGUUGGUUAAAGAAGAGGUCAAAGACUUAGCAGGUCCUCUCUGGCUACCGUCAGAGCUGUACUCAAAGGCCGUACCAUGUGAGCCUGAGGAAAGAAGGCUUCAGCUUUCAAUUUAAAUUCCCCUUUUAAAAAUGCUCUGUGUUCCUGCUAGAGAGAUGGACUCCAUUAAACAGCCAGCAGCGUGUGGAUCACCAGGCGGUCCAACAGUGUCCACAAGUGGGCCCACUGAAGGAGCCAUGGACAAAUAGGUAGAGUUGAACAGGAACUUUUCAGUCAUGUGCACACACACACAUACACAGAGAGAUACACAGACGCACAAAUACAUAAUUUUUUUUAUUGCAUCUAGGAGCAAUGCCCAGGAAACAUAUAAAAACGUUCAUAGCAGCACUAUUUGACAUCUGAAGACAACCGGGAAUGAGGCAAAUGUCCACUGGCAGGAAAGUGAAUAACCAAAGUGUGGCACAUUUCACAUACUAUGUAAUUAUACAGCCGUGAAAAUGAAUGAACCACAGCUACUUGUAACAACAUGAAUGAACUGAGAAACACAUUAGGUAGAAAAGAGACAUGUUGGAAAAGACCACAUGCGGUACGAUACCCUUUUUUAUAAAGCUCAGUAAUAAGCAAAGCUUGUGGAGUCAUGCAUGUGUGUGAGAUAAAAAUAUUUUUUAAAGCAGAAGAAUGAUAAACACAAAAUUCCCAUAGCAGUUUCCCCUGGGGAGUAAAGCAGCUUAAUGGGAUAAGGAAGGAGUACAAAGGUCAAGGGAAGUUAUUGGUGAUGCUUUAAUUUUCCCACUGGCUAAUAGAUUCGUAUGAUUCUAUAUCAUGUGGCAUCAUGACUUAGAUGUAGGUUACAUAUAUUCUUUUGUAUGUAUAUGACGUUAAAAUAAUCAGAUUAAAAAAUAAAACUAUCUGUAGUCAUGAUGACUUACCCAGCUGAUGGAAUUCAAAUUUCAGAGUUCAAAAGUUUAGAAAUUAUCUACUUCAAACCCCUAAUUUUACAUAUGUCAAAAUGACUUGCAAAUUGCAAAGGGACUUGACCACAUUUGCACAACUCUUUAGUGACUGUGCAAAGAUCAGAACUCUUGCCUACUGGUUCCUAGUCUACAAUUCCUCCUUCCAUUCUCACCCCCAAAAUAAUAGUAAUUCUUCUUCUUCCUCUUUUUCUUCUUCUUCUUUAAGUUGAAGCAACAUACAAGUGGCCUUACAUGACAGUGGGUGGAUUAAACACCUCUGUUCCAGAAGACAGGAGACAACUGUGCAAUUUACUACCAGAAGUGUGCUUUUGUGGGGUUUUGCCUACACGGCAGUUAGUCAGUGAAUGUCUUUCCUACACCGUGACUCAAGAAACCAAGGAGGACGAGGCUCUUCAGAACCUUUAAGUCAUGAGCAUCAUGGUGAAGCAUGGAGAACAUUGGAAGGAGUAACACACUGACUGUCUGCUCGUGAAUCCAAAUCCCUGGAAUGUGCCACACGGCUUUAGUCGUGUCCCCUGGGAAGAGACCAUCCACGGUUCUGCAUCUUGAGAGAAAAGGGAAGCUGGCAAGAAUGCGUCUUCAAUUCAAACUGAUUCCUCCAGCGACAUCCAUUCAAACAAUAAUACAAGUGAGAAAAUUAGAUGGUUACCAAGCAUUAUUUGGCAAAGACACAGCACCGUGCCUAUCACUGACUCACAACAGAUCCUCUAAGCCUCAGCUAACAGAUUAAGUAAACAUAGAAAUAUUUUUUUUGUCUUUUUGAAGAAAACUUUUUAUAUCCUCUUUUACCAUAAGAUACGCUGGGGAGUUUAUUCAAGAAUUUGCUGACAGUCAUAUCCUUAUUUUUCACGUUUCCAAGGUUCUUCUUCAACACUGCAGUCGGCUGACUUUCCGCUGGCUGCCAGAGUUACCUGAAAAUAAUUAUCAUCAAUAUCCAGCUUACGGGCCAUGAACCAGAAAACCACUGGGGGGUUAUGUGGAGGACCACCAGACCCAGGUUCUACUACACGACUUCAAUAUUAAUUUUAAACGUUGUUCCUUCCAAAUCGAUUUUGAACUGGUCUUAGUUUUCAACACUGAUUUGCGAACAUUAAAAAAAAAAAUACAUAUUUGCCUUGGGGGGUAUUGAGCGACUAGAGAUACUUUGCAAGUUGGGGGAUAAAUAACUUCUACUAUGAUUUUAGGGUUAUGAGGGUGUCUCGUUACCCAUAGACCCCCCACACAACAAUGCAGUCCUGAAAACAUAGUGCCCUUGUGCUACUCCAAACAACCACAGAGAAAAAAAAAUCCAGAACUAGGCAGCUAGCUCUACUCAUGCAUGUGAAAGGUUCAGUUGCAAUGAGGCCAGGUGGAGUUUAUGCACGUCCAAUUUUCAAAUCAUGAUGGUCUGGCUCUACCAUAUAAACUAUCCAGGCUUUAAAAAUUAAAAAGGAAAGGAGGGAAUUAAAAGGCUGAAAUCAGUAUCUCUAAAUUAUGUCAUUGCAGACAUUUAUUAAUCAACUAUAAUCUCCAGACUGUCAGUAUUAUGCUUCCCUGGCUCUCAGCGAACUGAACCCUUACACAGAGUGGGAAGUUUUCCCCUCCACAUCUAAGUCGUUUUCCUAGCUUACCUUCCAUCUGUCUGUCCUCAACGUCAUGUGCAAACUUAAACCCACGACUGAUAUUCCACAUAAUGGAGAGACUGGAUUUAUGGAAGCAUUAGAAUAUGGAGACAUGACAAACGCAGCAAUGUUUGAAAGAAAUCUGGCCUUCCUUCUUACCCAAAUGGAAGUGAGAGGCAUGCAUUAUGAACGCACACAACAUGCUAGGAACAGAAAACCUUUCACGAAGCAAGCAAAUGAAAAUAAAAACUACUCAUUCCUCCGGUCCCCAUGAGGCCCCCGCAUUGUUUUUUUUUUUAAAGACAGUGCAACAAGCAAAUGAAAGCAUCCCAUGCAAUUCUUCUGAUUAAAAUUAAAAACAUUGCAUAACUUCAAACUACGGUUACAAGGCAAGAGUUUGAAAAUAGAGAGACCAACAUGACAGAACAAUGCUUAGAAUGGUUAAAGUUGUGACCAGAGCGGCAGCAAACUUGUUUCCCCUUCAGUGAACUGUCAGGAAAGACAGCCAGGGACAAACUAUCUGCCUGGAGCAAGCUGCCUGUUCACCAUGACCUUGAAUGUACCUAUUUGGCUUUCAGUGAUGAACCAGAUCAAUAGCUGUGCAACAUUAUGAAUCAUGGUGCCUUUGGAAAACCAGACAGAGCUCAGGUGGCAGGGGCAGGGAGGCUGUUGUUUUCAAAUACCGAGACCUGUGUCUCUGAAGUAGCUGGGACUGCAGCUUUUUUGGCAUUUCCUUUUUCUGGCUGGAUUAAAGGAAGCAGGGACUCCGUUCCCCCAGUCUAUUCCACCCGGCUCCGUCCCAACACCUGGGUAAUGGAAGAGCCAAAAGGGAAGAACUGGCAGUAAGCAGUGAUGUCUCCCAACUCAGCUUUUAAAACAGUGAGACUGAGAAUGGACCAGAAGGAGGUUCAAAGGCAGGAGUAGAUGGGACACAGAUAUUCUGGGAAAGCCUUCAAAUUCAUCUCCACAGCUCUGACUGCCUCCUUUGCAUAUAGGUGUCAACUCAGUUAACUGGUCUAGAGCGAGAAGGGUCGACUGGCCUCGCCUCACAAUCUUCACUGAGCUGAACCCAUCACUUCGUUAAAAACUGCAAACCGCCAAAGAGUUACUAAACCAAUAUGGCCGUUUCAUCAUUUCCAUGAUCUGCUCAGUUUCACCAUUUGACCAUCUAAACACUAAUUCACCGAGUUUGCAGGUGGUUGGUUUGGUGGUCGAUUACCUAGAAAGACUGAGCCACUAUCUCUAUCAAACUGUCCAGCAAAGAAGGUUAUCUGAAUUAAAGCAUGGGGUCGAGAUGCUAAACGUAUACACUCAAUAAAUACUUCUGAACAGCCUACUGCAUGCCUGGCCCUGCUUUAGGGCACAGCAGUGAUAAACAGUGACACAGUCUCUCUCAUGGGCUUACUUCACAGUGAUAGAGACAGCUGACCAACAUUUCCCUUUAGGGACUGAACUGUUUGCUAAAAUAAACGAAGCACAUCUGUCCUGAUGUGCUUGAUAUGCUUUAAGGAAAAAAAAAGGUGCAGGAAGUCUGAAAUCUAAAGACAUCUCCAUGCCUAUGCACUUUCCUCAAAACUUGUCCUACACAGUAUCGUUAAGAAGCCUCUCCUGAGACGCUCCAAAAGGGCCGCACCAAAGGCAGUUAACCACUAGGACUCUUCUCAUAUAUAACUGCAAAGUUAAAGAAUAUAUGUGGUGAUUUUAUUUUGUUUCCUACUACUAUUUUUCCUCAUAGGGAAGUAAUUGCGAUCAAGCUGUUAUCUCCACUAUACAACUGCACGUUCAUUUUGCUGUCCUCCAGUGCCUAACUCAGGGCUUUGCCGAUUAUGGGCACUCAAUAAAACUUGACUAAUAAUCAAAAUAUAGGAGGUCAUAGGAAUAAGAUGGGGGUGCUCAAUUAAACCCCGCAAGGCACACGAUGAAUACUUGUUAAGUAUAAUAGAGCAUAAAGCUAUUCCAUGGAAUGUUGACCCUUGUUCACCAAAACUACCAUUUUGAUGGAGAAUAAUCCGGCACAAUCAUUGAGAUGCGGAAAACACGAACUUUCCAGGAGAAUGGAGUAAACCAUUUAGGUGCAUCUGAAUUUCUAACAAUUUUAAUUGUUUUAAUUGAACCACUUAAUUUAUGCAAUUGCCUCUUGAUGGGCGGGGUCCCUCCCUAAUUUGCAUCAGAGCCCUGGUUUACCCACACAUGUAGCUUAUACAGAGGGGAUGAACCAAAGAUGGUGGCUGCACCUAUGAUACAGUCCAGUAGAGGGGGUUGCUUCUGUGUCAUCCUUCGUCGUCUGGCAGAAGCCAUGGCAUAUAGUUGGAAUGACCCAGAAAUAACAUAGGGAGAAAUUAACUAUUAAAUGAGAUCCAUCAACAGGAGUCAAAAAGGUAUCAGAAAUCUGUGUUCGGUUCAGAUUGGCCUCAGUUGCCACUUACAACCCUUAAGAGUUGACACUGCUCACCUGCCAGGGUUUCUCCAAGUUUGCUUCACUCUGGUCAUGACACUUUGACAAUGUCAAGUUAGUUACAAUGAAGGCUGGACAGAGCCCAUCAAGCUUGAAGACUUAGCAUCCAACAGCUUGGAAAAGAGUCCGGAACAUCCAUGCUUCAGGAAGAAUGGUGCUGCCAGGCAGUAUGUGACAUAUAGUGUUUUUUUAAAGCCAUCUACGGAUAACUGUCCUGAAGGAGAGUUAUUCUUUACUUGAAAUUGCUUCCCCAUUCUUGGGGCAAAGUGAUUGCCAGGUGAAAACUCACCUUCCCACAAAAAUAAUGAAGAGAAAGAGAGCUGCACAAAGUUAUGUGGGUACACUUUUGACCCACACAUGAUAUACAGCAAGAAGGAAUACUUGUACUACGUAAGUCAAAUGAUUCUGGGUAUUUCUCUUGAUGUUUCACUUGAACAGAAUAUUUGAAAGCCAGCAAGGCCCUAGAAACCACAAACUCUUGAGCGUAAUAUUCAAAGAAAACUGAUUGAAUUUGUGAAGUGGGUGGACGGGGGAGUCAAAAUGAUUGUUUUAUAUCACAUGGAUAAAACAAGCAACCGAUUGGCUCUUUCACCGUUAGACUUGUGGAUUUCCUGCCACGUUAGACACAGAGUUAGAUGAUCUGGGACUCACAGACGCUUGAGUUACAUGAUUCUUUAGAAAAAUAAAUGUGACAGUAAUACAUGCAGGGCUUUGUGUUUGCUUUAAGAAAUUGAGCAUGCACUGUUAUAUACAGGUCUCGAUAUCCAGGAAUGGGAACGGUACCUUGCACUCAUCUACUAUGACAGAGUUGUGUGCAGCAUAGACACAUUGGUUGGAGUUGUUUUCCCUGUGGUUCUUCAUGUCAUCAUAAAUGGACUGAGUC